rnacentral:sRNA from 1 species
UUAGCUGUAAAUUACAUAAAUAUAAUUGUGGUAACAUUUUAGAAGAGGUUCUAUGUUAAAGCAAUCCGUUUUCAACUAAAUUUCUCUCUUUUUUUUUUUUCUACAGUUGAUACUCUAGUAGCAAUUUUUUUGUCUGGCUGAGUUUUCUCCCAUGCUGCUUCCUUUUUCAUGAACACAUGGAGCAUAUCCAGUCUUACCUGCUUUUAUUUUUCUUCCCUAUUCCAAAAAUGAUAUAUGGCUUUAUGAUCCUUGCAUUUUCUGUCCUUUAACUUCCAGCAGUACAUACUGCCAGGAGCUACUCCAGGAAUUAAAUUUUCUUCCUGUAGAAACUCAGUCUCUCCCCUGAACUUUAUAUAUAGUAUAACUUACACCUUAUUGAAGCCAAAUUGAAGCAUGUUAUUUUAUUAUCUUGGCCUAGAAUGUAUGUUGAGUUGUGGGAGAGCUAGUGUUCAUUCCAGGUUCAGGAGCCCAAACUGCACAAGAAGAUGUCCCAUGUAUAUAUGCAAAUAUAAUCAUGUAUAGCACGAACAUUGGAAAAUGAGGAAGGCAGGGAAUAGGUGUAGCACUAAUGUUACCAAGGACAGGUUACCACAUAAUAAAUACAAGCUUGCACACAACAUAUGUGGAAGACCUUUUGAGGGAUUCUGACUAACUGAUCUGGAAUAAAAUGUGAGGAUUGUGAUUUUUCUUUUAUUUUAUCCCUUCCAUUACGCAAUUCUAAUUUGCAACUAGAUUUGAAAAAUCAUUGUUUAGACCUAUAUAGGAGUAUGAAGUUUUCAAUGUAUCUUAAUUCUUUCCAACUUAUUUCCCUAGGGUUUCAAAGGACUGUGGCUAUUGCGGACUCAAAUUACAACUGGUUUUAUGGUCCAGAAAGCCAAUUAGUGUUCCUUGAUAAAUUUGUCAUGCGUAACGGCAGUGGUAACUGGCUAGCUGACCAAAUCAGAAGGAACCGUGUGGUGGAAGGUCCAGGAACACCAUCCAAAGGGCAGCGCUGGUGCACUCUGCACACGGAAUUUCUCUGGUAUGAUGCCAGCUUGAAAUCGGUUCCUCCUCCAGACUUUGGCACCCCUACACUGCAUUAUUUUGAAGACUGGGGUGUCGUGACUUAUGGAAGUGCACUACCUGCAGAAAUCAAUAGAUCUUUCCUUUCCUUCAAGUCUGGAAAACUGGGGGGACGUGCAAUAUAUGAUAUUGUCCACAGAAACAAAUACAAAGAUUGGAUCAAAGGAUGGAGAAAUUUUAAUGCAGGGCAUGAACAUCCUGAUCAAAACUCAUUUACUUUUGCUCCCAAUGGUGUGCCUUUCAUUACUGAGGCUCUGUAUGGGCCAAAGUACACCUUCUUCAACAAUGUUUUGAUGUUUUCCCCAGCUGUGUCAAAGAGCUGCUUUUCUCCCUGGGAGGGUCAGGUCACAGAAGACUGCUCAUCAAAAUGGUCUAAGUACAAGCAUGACCUGGCAGCUAGUUGUCAGGGGAGGGUGGUUGCAGCAGAGGAGAAAAAUGGGGUGGUUUUUAUCCGAGGAGAAGGUGUGGGAGCUUAUAACCCCCAGCUCAACCUGAAGAAUGUUCAGAGGAAUCUCAUCCUCCUACAUCCACAGCUGCUUCUCCUUGUAGACCAAAUACACCUGGGAGAGGAGAGUCCCCUGGAGACAGCAGCGAGCUUCUUCCACAAUGUGGAUGUUCCUUUUGAGGAGACUGUGGUAGACGGUGUCCAUGGGGCUUUCAUCAGGCAGAGAGAUGGUCUCUAUAAAAUGUACUGGAUGGACGAUACUGGCUACAGUGAGAAAGCAACCUUUGCCUCAGUGACAUAUCCUCGGGGCUAUCCCUACAACGGGACAAACUAUGUGAAUGUCACCAUGCACCUCCGAAGUCCCAUCACCAGGGCAGCUUACCUCUUCAUAGGGCCAUCUAUAGAUGUUCAGAGCUUCACCGUCCAUGGAGACUCUCAGCAACUGGAUGUGUUCGUAGCCACCAGCAAACAUGCCUACGCCACGUACCUGUGGACAGGUGAGGCCACAGGACAGUCUGCCUUUGCACAGGUCAUUGCUGAUCGUCACAAAAUUCUGUUUGACCGGAAUUCAGCCAUCAAGAGCAGCAUUGUCCCUGAGGUGAAGGACUAUGCUGCUAUUGUGGAACAGAACUUGCAGCAUUUUAAACCAGUGUUUCAGCUGCUGGAGAAGCAGAUACUGUCCCGAGUCCGGAACACAGCUAGCUUUAGGAAGACUGCUGAGCGCCUGCUGAGAUUUUCAGAUAAGAGACAGACUGAGGAGGCCAUUGACAGAAUUUUUGCCAUAUCACAGCAACAGCAGCAGCAAAGCAAGUCAAAGAAAAACCGAAGGGCAGGCAAACGCUAUAAAUUUGUGGAUGCUGUCCCUGAUAUUUUUGCACAGAUUGAAGUCAAUGAGAAAAAGAUUAGACAGAAAGCUCAGAUUUUGGCACAGAAAGAACUACCCAUAGAUGAAGAUGAAGAAAUGAAAGACCUUUUAGAUUUUGCAGAUGUAACAUACGAGAAACAUAAAAAUGGGGGCUUGAUUGAAGGCCGGUUUGGACAGGCACGGAUGGUGACAACUAUUCACAGCAGGGCCCCAUCACUGUCUGCUUCCUAUACCAGGUUGUUCCUGAUUCUGAACAUUGCUAUUUUCUUUGUCAUGUUGGCAAUGCAACUGACUUAUUUCCAGAAGGCCCAGAGCCUACAUGGCCAAAGAUGUCUUUAUGCAGUUCUUCUAAUAGAUAGCUGUAUUUUAUUAUGGUUGUACUCUUCUUGUUCCCAAUCACAGUGUUAGCACUGAAGCUAUAAAUUACCUGGUCAUUUUGUGAUCACAAGAGUCUAUGCAAAAAAAAAAUUUCUUUACCCCAGAUUAUCAGAUUUUUUUCCCUCGGAUUCAUUUUAACAAACUAAGGGAAGAUAUUUUGACACAAGAAAGCAGGAACAUGGAGAAAUCGGAGCAGGAAAAGAAUUUAUCAAAGCAAUAGAAAUAGCUUGGUGGUCCUAUGGUGUUUUUGGAAGUAUUUGGCAUUGCUAAUUGAGCAGUCCAUAUAGUACUACUUUUAGAAGAAACAAAAAGUCUGUUUUUUAAAGUAAUGUUUUUUCUUAUGAGAAAAAGGUUUAGAUAGAAUUGGGUUUUAUUAAUAUUAAUUUAAUGCUAUUAGCAAUUUCCAUAUACUAUAUUAUGGAAAAGACUGAAGAAUACAAUUCUGAGAAAUAUAAAAAAAAUUUUAAUGGUAUAGUCAUGUUGAAAGAUAAAUGUUGCUAAGUCCUGGUAUGAUGGUGUCAGCUUCCUUGGGGACGUACUUCUUGAGUUAUGUAACUAACAGGAUCUUUUACUACAGAUCUGGAUGGCUAUUCAGAUAACAUAGCAAAAAAUGAUAGCAGAAGAUCAUUAAAAACUUAAAAUAUAUUUUAUUAGAAAACAUUUAUCUAUGAAUGAAUAUUUCCUUGAUGCUGAUCUCUGCACACAUAUACUUGGUUACUUGUAUGCAUUCAUUGGUUGUUCAAUAAGUGAGAUGAUUACAGAUAACUUAAUACUGUAUUUUCCUUAUAUGGAAAACCGUUGUAGACCCAAUAACAACUAAACCUUUCAAAAUAAAAUAUUUUCUAUUAUGAAUGUUGAUUUUCAUACCAAAGAAGAUGGAGAAUCUAAAAUUUGGAUAUGAUUCUUAUGUUUUUUUAAUAGAAAACCUUCUUCAAGUUUAUUUUCCUAAAUAAACAUCAUAAUUGUG